AGUUUUCACACCAUGAGAGAAAAUGCCAGCCAGAUAUGAUUGGGCUACAAGGAUAAGAGUGUCCAUCAAAUGGAACUCUCAAGUGAUACACGAGCAUGUUAGGGUAAGUCAUUACAUGCUAGUUCAAUUUAAAUUACUUUCACUUAAUCACUGUGACUAUUAAUUUCUUGGCAAAGAAAUAAAUAUGAAGUGGUAUUUUGCAUGUUGUGUGCAGACCAAAUGAAUUACAUCAGAAAAUGCAACCAAAUGAGAUUUAAUAUGUUUGAGGGGGAAAAAAGUUUAAAGGAGACAAACAUGUUUUACACCUUUUGUGGUACAGAUAAAUUUGUGAUCUUAGUGUGUAUAGGGAAAAAUGAUGCUCAAAUGUGCAGCACUUUUUCAUAUUGGAUCAAACAUCAUUGGAACUGUUCACAUGUGAUGCAUCUAUAUUAAAUAUCAUCUUCUAAGUAGGACCAAGCCAUUAGGAUAUUUAGAAAACACAUCAACAGACCUUGGGGGCAGAAGAGGAAAGUCAUAGGAGCAUCUUUGGAAGGUCAAAGUUUGGAGUUAACUCUAGUCCAAUGUGUUAAGAUAAACAAAAAAACA